AUGAACUUAUGUUUUUUACCUUCUUACCGUGUAUAACUCCUACUUGAAGAGUGUGAGAGAAUAUUUACUACUCGGAUGUUUGAGACAUACCAAAAAAUGCUUUUUGAUCCUUUAUCAAGAAGACGUAAUGACCAAGAUUGAUAAAGAAAAAUGCAAUGGUUACUUUACCUGCAACCAUCUCAAAGACGCUCUAAUGUCAUUUCAGAGGACUUCAGCCAUGAACUUGGUGAUGAGCCAGAGAAGGUAACUUUUCAUCCCCUACAAGACCUCCCAGAGGCCUUUAUUCUUCUUACA
rnacentral:lncRNA from 10 species